rnacentral:rRNA from 1 species
CCCUUAGAUGUUCUGGGCCGCACGCGCGCUACACUGAUGCAUUCAACGAGUCCAACCUUGACCGAGAGGUCCGGGUAAUCUUUGAAACUGCAUCGUGAUGGGGCUAGAUUAUUGCAAUUAUUAAUCUUCAACGAGGAAUGCCUAGUAAGCGUGAUUCAUCAAAUCGCGUUGAUUACGUCCCUGCCCUUUGUACACACCGCCCGUCGCUCCUACCGAUUGAGUGUGUUGGUGAGGAGUUUGGAUUGGCCUCGGAAGGUGGUUCGCCACCGUCCGUAGCUGAGAAGUUCUCCAAACCGCCCCACUUAGAGGAAGGAGAAGUCGAACA